rnacentral:misc_RNA from 1 species
AAGUCGUAACAAGGUUUCCGUAGGUGAACCUGCGGAAGGAUCAUUAUCGAAUUUUAAACCCAACUUUUGCUGUGCAUUCACUUGCACGCGCCGGUUGGCUCUUUAAAUUUCUUACACACCUGUGCACCUUUCGAGCUUGUUGCAGAGCGUCUGCUCGCGAAUGCAAGUCUCGUUUUUUUACACCUUUCUCGUAUGUCUUUUGAAUAAAUUUCCGGUCGCCCUGUGAUGGGGAUGAUUGGCUUAAUAAAAUACAACUUUCAGCAACGGAUCUCUUGGCUCUCC